UACGAGGGGUGCAAGCGUUGCUCGGAAUUAUUGGGCUUAAAGGGUAGGUAGGUGGUCUCAUUUGUCAGGGGUGAAAGCCUUGGGCUUAACCCAAGAAGUGCCCUUGAAACGGUGAGACUGGAGUCUUGGAGAGGGUCGUGGAAUUCCCGGUGUAGCGGUGAAAUGCGUAGAGAUCGGGAGGAACACCAGAGGCGAAGGCGGCGACCUGGACAAGUACUGACACUCAACUACGAAAGCGUGGGUAGCAAACAGG
rnacentral:rRNA from 1 species